GAGUUUGAUCUUGGCUCAGAUUGAACGCUGGCGGCAGGCCUAACACAUGCAAGUCGAGCGGAUGACGGGAGCUUGCUCCUUGAUUCAGCGGCGGACGGGUGAGUAAUGCCUAGGAAUCUGCCUGGUAGUGGGGGACAACGUUUCGAAAGGAACGCUAAUACCGCAUACGUCCUACGGGAGAAAGCAGGGGACCUUCGGGCCUUGCGCUAUCAGAUGAGCCUAGGUCGGAUUAGCUAGUUGGUGGGGUAAUGGCUCACCAAGGCGACGAUCCGUAACUGGUCUGAGAGGAUGAUCAGUCACACUGGAACUGAGACACGGUCUAGACUCCUACGGGAGGCAGCAGUGGGGAAUAUUGGACAAUGGGCGAAAGCCUGAUCCAGCCAUGCCGCGUGUGUGAAGAAGGUCUUCGGAUUGUAAAGCACUUUAAGUUGGGAGGAAGGGCAGUAAGUUAAUACCUUGCUGUUUUGACGUUACCGACAGAAUAAGCACCGGCUAACUCUGUGCCAGCAGCCG
rnacentral:rRNA from 1 species